rnacentral:rRNA from 1 species
GUAGGUGGCAAGCGUUGUCCGGAAUUAUUGGGCGUAAAGCGCGCGCAGGCGGUUCUUUAAGUCUGAUGUGAAAGCCCACGGCUCAACCGUGGAGGGUCAUUGGAAACUGGAGAACUUGAGUACAGAAGAGGAAAGCGGAAUUCCACGUGUAGCGGUGAAAUGCGUAGAGAUGUGGAGGAACACCAGUGGCGAAGGCGGCUUUCUGGUCUGUAACUGACGCUGAGGCGCGAAAGCGUGGGGAGCAGACAGGAUUAGAUACCCUGGUAGUCCACGCCGUAAACGAUGAGUGCUAAGUGUUAGGGGGUUUUCCGCCCCCCUUAGUGCUGCAGCUAACGCAUUAAGCACUCCGCCUGGGAGUACGGCCGCAAGGCUG